rnacentral:rRNA from 1 species
UACAGAGGUCCCAAGCGUUGUUCGGAUUCACUGGGCGUAAAGGGUGCGUAGGUGGCCGGGUAAGUCUGACGUGAAAUCUCCAAGCUCAACUUGGAAACUGCGUCGGAUACUAUCCGGCUAGAGGAUCGGAGGGGAGACUGGAAUACUUGGUGUAGCAGUGAAAUGCGUAGAUAUCAAGUGGAACACCAGUGGCGAAGGCGAGUCUCUGGACGAUUCCUGACACUGAGGCACGAAAGCCAGGGGAGCGAACGGG